CUUACAGCCCACCCAGCUCCAACCCCAGUGCCAUGGGCACAGUUGCCACUCACUGCAUCAGGUUGCCCAGUGCCCCACACAACCUGGUCUUGAGAAGAGUUGGGGGACUUCUUAAUGAGAGCUACGAGGAUUAAACAAAAACAAUUACUCCAGAAGGACUGAGAUUUCUCUUUAUCGAGUAAACACAUAGAAGUCAACAACAGAUGGAGCAUCACAUGGAGUUACGCAGACAGGUGUUGACUAGCUGGUGGUGUUCCAAGAAAGGACGGUCCCAUCUGGUCAUGGGGAGAGCUGUGAUGGUGCGAAAAGAAGAGAGUGAUCACCAUGGACAAAGAGCAUCCCAUGAACUCAUGUCAGAGAAGAGUUUUUGUCUUGGAGGUGGAGGGCUCAGUCGAUGGGAAAAGUAGGGCUACUUCUACGUGGGGUGUGGAUGGAGAAGUUUGAG
rnacentral:lncRNA from 1 species